rnacentral:miRNA from 1 species
UCUUGGAAAAGUUGUAGGAGA